rnacentral:rRNA from 1 species
CCUACGGGUGGCAGCAGUGGGGAAUAUUGGACAAUGGGCGAAAGCCUGAUCCAGCCAUGCCGCGUGUGUGAAGAAGGCCUUCGGGUUGUAAAGCACUUUCAGUGGGGAAGAAAGCCUUGGGGCUAAUACCCUCGAGGAAGGACAUCACCCACAGAAGAAGCACCGGCUAACUCCGUGCCAGCAGCCGCGGUAAUACGGAGGGUGCGAGCGUUAAUCGGAAUUACUGGGCGUAAAGCGCGCGUAGGCGGUCUGAUAAGCCGGUUGUGAAAGCCCCGGGCUCAACCUGGGAACGGCAUCCGGAACUGUCAGGCUAGAGUGCAGGAGAGGAAGGUAGAAUCCCCGGUGUAGCGGUGAAAUGCGUAGAGAUCGGGAGGAAUACCAGUGGCGAAGGCGGCCUUCUGGACUGACACUGACGCUGAGGUGCGAAAGCGUGGGUAGCAAACAGGAUUAGAUACCUUGUAGUC